ensembl:lncRNA
AACCAUAUCCAGAACUUUCCCUGAAGAAUCACUGAUGAUGAGAUGGAGGAGGUGAAGAUGAAGGUGUGUGAGGACUCAUCAGGUCUCCUGACAGCUCCGGUUCCUCCACCACUUCCUCUCUAUACAUGUGUAGAGGUUCUGUAGGACUGAACACAAACAGGAACUUUAGCCAGGAUUCCAGGAACGGCGGUGAUGAGGAGAACUCAGCUGAGGUAUGGAAGCUGCAUGCUGUAUGGGUACGCAUGCUGCUGCACUCGUUCCUGCUCUGCUGCUCUCUUCUUACUGCCGUUCUGUGUAUUACGAGGAAGAGAGGAGCAGAGAGAGACAAAGACAUUCAGGUAACGAGAGAACUUUUCACUUUAUGUCUUUAUCCUCAUCAAGCUCCACAUAAAGUUCCUAUAAAGCUGUUACUGGACUGUUACUAGAUGGAGCAACUUAAUUAAGACUAGCUACCUGUGUUUCAUAGAAGAUUACGUGUCCUCCUAACAGUGGCGUAGCUAAAG